UCAUCUUAACAGGCUUGCCUCUUUUUUUUUUUCUAUAUUCCAGUUGUUAAAUUAACCAGGAGGCAAAACCAGCCAGAUUGAUGAAUCCAAGAAACAGCUGAUUUUCCUGACAAGAUGAUGACCUGACCUCCGAGGACACAAAGCUCAUGUGUGCUGCAUCCAACUGCCAGCGUUGCCUCAGCUCCACAGGAAACCAUCUCUCUAACCACUGCUCGAUCGCUUCUCUGUUGUCUACGCUCAAAACAACUGUCAGACAGCCUGGCCAUGAGACCUUGCUUGUUGGACAGUUAAAAAUGAACAGAGAAGAUAGGAAGACUGGUUGAUGGACAGAAUUUAAGUAAACAACAGCAGAGUAAUAUCUUGGGUACUUUCUUUUCUUUUCUUUCUUUCUUUUUUUGGUGGGCAAUGGGGUUAAGUGACUUGCCCAGGGUCAUACAACUAGUAAGUGUCAAGUAUCUGAGGCCAGAUUUGAACCCAGGUCCUCCUGACUCCAGGGCCAGUGCCCUAUCCACUGCACCACCAACUGCCCCAAAGGGUACUCUCUAAAAUUAGGAAUGGUAAGGAGGAGAAGCAACUAUUGAAUGAGACAAAGAAUAAAUGACCAGAAAGAAAGUGAGAUGAAAUGUUA
ensembl:lncRNA